ACGAACGCUGGCGGCGUGCUUAAUACAUGCAAGUCGAGCGAGGUUACUGCGACAGAUCCCUUCGGGGUGAAGUUGCUUUAGCCUAGCGGCGGACGGGUGAGUAACGCGUGGGUAACCUACCCUAAAGUUCGGGAUAACAGCGGGAAACCGCUGCUAAUACCGGAUGCCUUUACCAUGUGGCAUCACAAGGUAAAGAAAGGUAACGCUUUAGGAUGGGCCCGCGUCCCAUUAGCUAGUUGGUGAGGUAACAGCUCACCAAAGCGACGAUGGGUAGCCGGCCUGAGAGGGUGGACGGCCACACUGGGACUGAGACACGGCCCAGACUCCUACGGGAGGCAGCAGUAGGGAAUAUUGCGCAAUGGACGGAAGUCUGACGCAGCGACGCCGCGUGAGCGAUGAAGGCCUUCGGGUCGUAAAGCUCUGUCCUUGGGGAAGAAGGUCUUCGGACUUGACGGUACCCAAGAAGAAAGCCCCGGCUAACUACGUGCCAGCAGCCGCGGUAAUACGUAGGGGGCGAGCGUUGUCCGGAAUUACUGGGCGUAAAGGGUGCGUAGGCGGCCCUUUAAGUCAGAUGUGAAAGCCCGCAGCUUAACUGCGGAAUUGCAUUUGAAACUGGAGGGCUUGAGUGUCGGAGAGGGUAGUGGAAUUCCCAGUGUAGCGGUGAAAUGCGUAGAUUUUGGGAGGAACACCAGUGGCGAAAGCGACUGCCUGGACGAUAACUGACGCUGAGGCACGAAAGCUAGGGGAGCAAACAGG
rnacentral:rRNA from 1 species